rnacentral:rRNA from 1 species
UCUCAGUUCGGAUUGGAGUCUGCAACUCGACUCCAUGAAGCUGGAUUCGCUAGUAAUCGCGCAUCAGCCAUGGCGCGGUGAAUACGUUCCCGGGCCUUGUACACACCGCCCGUCAAGCCAUGGAAGCCGGGGGUGCCUGAAGUGCGUGACCGCAAGGAGCGCCCUAAGGUAAAACCGGUGACUGGGGCUAAGUCGUAACAAGGUAUC